rnacentral:lncRNA from 1 species
AUGCUGUCCAAUCUUUUUGUAAUGGCUUAGAGAGAGAGAAGAUGAUGAUUAAAAACAACUAUUGAAAUAUUCUGCACACAAAAUGCUGGAAUUCUCUUGAAGUUUUUAUUAUUGAAUGAGGAGGACUGAAAUAUUGGAGAGUGGAGGAGUGAUUCCUGUAUUGGGUGAAUGCAGCCCUUAAUGCGUGCUCGCUUUGUAUUCCAACAGUGCUUGUUGUGGCAAGGUGCUUUUUUAUAGUUUGCAAAUCCUCUGUAUAAACAGGAGUCAUGUAAGUGCUGCAGUGAUGGGGACUUUGCACUGCUGUUGAUCAUAAUUAGAUUACCGACUUGUAGAUCAAGCCAGUGAAAGACACACAGAAGGCUGACUUAGAGAUUAUUAUAUCAGCUAAGUAGAGUAAUUAAUGAGACAGACCUUAACUUUUCUUCAGUUUCUCUUUUUUCUUAAAGAAGAUAUUCC